GACGAACGCUGGCGGCGUGCUUAACACAUGCAAGUCGAACGGAAAGGCCCUGCUUUUGUGGGGUGCUCGAGUGGCGAACGGGUGAGUAACACGUGAGUAACCUGCCCUUGACUUUGGGAUAACUUCAGGAAACUGGGGCUAAUACCGGAUAGGAGCUCCUGCUGCAUGGUGGGGGUUGGAAAGUUUCGGCGGUUGGGGAUGGACUCGCGGCUUAUCAGCUUGUUGGUGGGGUGGUGGCUUACCAAGGCUUUGACGGGUAGCCGGCCUGAGAGGGUGACCGGCCACAUUGGGACUGAGAUACGGCCCAGACUCCUACGGGAGGCAGCAGUGGGGAAUAUUGCACAAUGGGCGGAAGCCUGAUGCAGCAACGCCGCGUGCGGGAUGACGGCCUUCGGGUUGUAAACCGCUUUCGCCUGUGACGAAGCGUGAGGGACGGUAAUGGGUAAAGAAGCACCGGCUAACUACGU
rnacentral:rRNA from 1 species